rnacentral:rRNA from 1 species
UAACGCGUAAAGAACUUGCCUCACAGCUAGGGACAACAUUUAGAAAUGAAUGCUAAUACCUGAUAUUAUGAUUUUAAGGCAUCUUAGAAUUAUGAAAGCUAUAAGCACUGUGAGAGAGCUUUGCGUCCCAUUAGCUAGUUGGAGAGGUAACAGCUCACCAAGGCGACGAUGGGUAGCCGGCCUGAGAGGGUGAACGGCCACAAGGGGACUGAGACACGGCCCUU